AUCCUAGAUGCUGGCGACGGUUUCCCCGAGAGGGGAUGAAAAGGGAAUGCGGUGCGGGGACAGUGUCGUAAGGACAUCGUCCCCAAUGCCGUAGCUGCCCCCGCAACUGUAAGCGGUGAAUCCUUCGUCUUUAAAGCCACUGGGGUCCUCGGUCCCGGGAAGGCGACGAAGCGGUCACGACCCGCGAGCCAGGAGACCUGCCGUCAGCCGUGGUCACAC
rnacentral:ncRNA from 2 species